UUUUUACUACGAAGAGUUUGAUCCUGGCUCAGGAUGAACGCUAGCGGCAGGCCUAAUACAUGCAAGUCGAACGUCAUUUUUGACUUCGGUUAAAAAUGAGUGGCGAACGGGUGAGUAACACGUAUGCAACCUACCCCUUACCGGGGAAUAGCUUCGAGAAAUCGAAAUUAAUACCCCAUAAUAUUUAACUUGGGCAUCCUUGUUAAAUUAAAGUUCCGGCAGUAAGGGAUGGGCAUGCGGCCCAUUAGCUUGUUGGUGAAGGUAACGGCUCACCAAGGCAACGAUGGGUAGCUGGUCUGAGAGGAUGAUCAGCCACACUGGCACUGAGACACGGGCCAGACUCCUACGGGAGGCAGCAGUAGGGAAUAUUGGUCAAUGGACGAAAGUCUGAACCAGCCAUGCCGCGUGCAGGAUGACGGAUCUAUGAUUUGUAAACUGCUUUUAUUCGGGAAGAACAGCAAGUAUUCUUAUUUGUCUGACGGUACCGAUUGAAUAAGCACCGGCUAACUCCGUGCCAGCAGCCGCGGUAAUACGGAGGGUGCAAGCGUUAUCCGGAUUUACUGGGUUUAAAGGGUGCGUAGGUGGUUUAAUAAGUUAGUGGUGAAAUCCUACAGCUCAACUGUAGAACUGCCAUUAAAACUGUUAAACUUGAGUAUAGUUGAGGCGGGUGGAAUGUAACAUGUAGCGGUGAAAUGCUUAGAUAUGUUACAGAACACCAAUUGUGAAGACAGCUCGCUAGACUAUUACUGACACUGAGGCACGAAAGCGUGGGUAGCGAACAGGAUUAGAUACCCUGGUAGUCCACGCCCUAAACGAUGAAUACUAGAUGUUGGAUUUUUUCAGUAUCGUAGCUAACGUAUUAAGUAUUCCGCCUGGGGAGUACGGUCGCAAGAUUAAAACUCAAAGGAAUAGACGGGGACCCGCACAAGUGGUGGAGCAUGUGGUUUAAUUCGAAGAUACGCGAAGA
rnacentral:rRNA from 1 species